CGAAUAUUACAUUAGAUCCAUCUCAUACAUUCAUUCACACACAAUAAGGGAUUCGAGUAAACGGGGACUAGAUCCGAGUUUCGAAAGGUUAAAGACGGCGCCCCAUAAUCGGCCGACCAACUCUGGUGAAGGAAAAGACCUGCCCGCGCAAGGCGAGGGAAAUAGCGCCAGAUUCAAGAACAAGAAAUAAAAAAAACAGAAAUAGAGAGAGUAACUAGCGGCUAGAUGCUAGAAAGAAAUAAAAAAAACAGAAACAAAGAAGGAGAAGGGGCGAACGGCCAAAAGGAGCAGGGAGAAAAGGAUAGCUCGGUCGGCCCAAGCUCCUGGCGACCGGUUCUUGGGUGAGCGGUCUGGAACUUAGAAACAGAGAUUAGAAAGAGCAUGAACAGAGAGGAGAGGCGGCCGGUUUUGGUCGUCGGGCAAGGUUCAAAAGGCGAUGGCCGACAUAUUUUUGUUUUUUUUUGGGCUAGCCGAGCUCUCACCGGCCACCGACCGACGACCGCGCACCCUCACAUGGGGACGCACUCGUUGGCGGUAAGGGCCAGUUGAGCUACUCGCCAUCACCAGUGGGAAAGGGCACGGCCUGGCAGUGCAAGAACAGAAACAGAGAAAGGAUGAGAAGGGCGCCGUCGGCCAUGCUUCCUGGCGGCUGGAUACUAUUCUGGCGGCUGGGGAGGAGAACAGAAAUGAGCUAGGGUUUCUCCUCACCCCGAGAUUUCCGCUAUUUAAAACCCUGAACAGUGCGCCAUUCAAUCCUGUCCGCUGGAUCACAUCCAACGGUGCAAAGUUGAGGAGGGGGAGGGAGGCGCAUGCGGUUGGGCUGAAUUUCCGGCCCAGGCCCAUGUUAGGUCCCGUGCGCGCGCCUCUCCCCACGCAGUGGAAGCGUGCUGAGCCACCACAGCGCUGGGCCGCCAGCCAGCGUGACUGGGCGCGCGCCCCUCUCCCGCGGCCAGAGCCGAAUUGAGCCGCAAGGCCGACCAGAGCCGAAAUGGCUCCAUUUUUUCCUGGAAUUUAUUUUUUUCUAUUUCCAGGAAUCAGAAACAGUAAAAGAAAAUAAGAAAAAUUGUAAAGAAAAAUCAGAAAUAUUUCGGAAAUAUUUUUUCAGUUAUAGAGAAUUACAGAUAUAUUUAUGGACUAUUUUAUUCCGCUGCGUACUUUGGUACUUUAUUCAAUAUUUUAUGCAAUUUUUCAGUUGAUUAUGAAACCAGCGUUGAUUAAUUUAUUGUCUAAAUUGCAUAGAAUUCAGAAAAUUUGUGGUAAUUGAAUAUUCUAACCAACGUUAGAUAUUGUUACCACAUUUUGAACAGAAGUAUACAUAUUCUAGAUUAUCCAACGAUGGUUUUAAAAUUUAGAACCAGAUUAUUAUUUGUUUUUCUAUGCAUUAUUGUUUAUUAUGAAGCCUACGUGGAUUAAUUCUCUUUAAGUGCAUAGAAAUUCAGAUUUUUUUGUGGUGAUUGAAUAUUUUGACCAACGUCGAAUAUUGUUGCCACAUUUUAUACAAGAAUUAAGUUUUCUAGAUCAUCCAACGAUGGUUUAGAAUGUUAGAACAAGAAAUUUUUGUAGAUCAGACAUGGUUAUUAUUUGACCAACGUCGAAUAUUUAAUUCAUGCAAGUUCUAUGUUUCAGUAUUUACUUCAGAUGUCCUAAAUAUUUUCUGUUUUACUUUGCAAAAGUACACAUAUUGGCCUACUAGUGGUCAGAUAAGGUAGAUUAAACCGCUAUGUGGUAUUUAUUGUCACUUAUGGCGGGAAAAGAUUGAAAUGAUAACUACAGUGGAUGAAAUAGAUUCCUCACUGUGGUUUGAGAAACCCACUAAGCCUACAGUAGGCUCACCUUAGGAUGACCUUAAGAUGGCGCAGUACAGCAUCUAUAAGGUCAACUGAAAAAGAUUCAAGUGUAAUGUACUUGAUCACAAUGAGAGUCUCAUUCAGGAUCCUAUUGAGGGUGCUAUUCCAGAAUAUGAAACAUUUCAUGAUCAGUAAAACACCUGUCUAAAUGGACAAGUGCUAUAUAGAUCAACUCACGACACAAUGUGUCCAGAAGGAGGAAUGGUUGAUAAGUCAAAUAAGUGAUUCUAUCAAUCUUCCCAAACUAAGAAUCCUCAAACAGAACAAAACCUCUAAGAAAGGUUCAAGAAUAAGAUCAAACAUGAUCACGAUGUUUUCUAUAUGCAACAAUCAGACUGUUUCUCAGACCCCCCUGAGACCUGCCUCUAUUGCAAGAAGACAGGGCAUACAAUAGAAAGCAUCCAGAAUUCCUGCAAUAGAUGCUACAGAAUGCAAUUCCGUACAAACCUAAGGCUCCUAGAGGGCUGAAAACAGUUACAGUGGUUAACGGAAAGCAAGCAGACACUUAACUUCAGUUUCGUGAUUAGACAAUCGGCAUCCACUAUCACUUCGGUGACAGAGACUAUGUGUUAUUCAAUUUUGAUAAUAAAGAUGUUGGUCUCGCCAUCUGACGAGACAUGUUUUAUUUAUCUUCGCACAAUGGUGCUAGAUACACCAGAAAACAAACUAGCCAACAUCGGCAGGAGUAAGAAAACAACGUGAUGGAGAAACCUCGUCGAAAUUAUGGCACUAUCGUUUAGGCCAUAUUUCGAGGGGGAGAAAAGAAGUCUCGUUAAGGGACAGAUUCUCCAUCACCUAGACUUGACAGAAGGGACAGAUUCUCCAUCACCUAGACUUGACAGACUUAGUGCAAUGCAAAGAUUGCAUGCACAGUACGAGAGUGUUAGAAAUUAUUCAUAUAGAUAUAUGUGGUCCUUUUCCAGUUAGGACAGUAGAUGGGUUUUGACUUGUUCAAAACCUUCACACAUGACUACUCUCGCUACGAUUAUAUUUACCCUUUUUUUUAAGGGACAGAUCAUAAGAAUUAGACAAGUUUAAAUAGUUCAAUGCUGAUGUAGAAAAACAACACGAUUUGAACACAAAGAUUGUCAUAUCAAAUCGUGUGGGGGAGUACCGAGGGCACCAUACUGAGUAUGGACAGGUCCCAGGAUCUUUUCGCGAGGUUCAUAAGUGAAAACAGUAUUGUAGCACAGUAUUCAACACCUGGUGAACCGCAACAGAAUGUGGUUGCCUAAAGGCGUAAGAAGAACACUGAUGGACAUGGUAAUGAGUAUGCUUAGUUACUUUAACUUACCAUUGGGUCUAUGGAUGGAGGCUUUAAAAACCACCAUGCAUAUACUAAAUAGAGUUCCUAGUAAAUCAGUGGCUAAAACUCCAUAUGAGUUGUUGACUGGCAGAUAGCCCACGCUCAACUACUUCAACAUAUGGGGUUGUCUAGCAGAAGCUCGAAUAUUUAAUCCUGGACAGGAAAAGCUAGAUGAGAGAACCACUAACUGUCAUUUUAUUGGCUACCCUGAGAGAUCGAAGGGUUACAGAUUCUACUAUCCAGGCAGACAAACCAAGUUUAUAGAAACUAGACAUGCCAUUUUCCUAGAAGAUGACAUGAUCAAGGGGAGUAAGGUACUCAGAGAGGUUGACCUUCAGGAAAAGAGGACGUAUGUCCCAAUUCCGAUGGUUGAAGAACCAUACUUCUCGAUACCCGCUGUGGUUCCACCAACAGUUGUAACGACUCGAGGUGAAACCCUUGCUGCAAAUAUUGCAUCACCAAGUGCAACUACCAUAGAGUAAGUCAAUUCACCUUUUGAACAGUCUGGCUCUUCUGAGUCGGUUGCACAGGAGAGCUCACAUGAGAGUGGUAGUGUUGUGCCAAGUGACGCACCAAUGCAGGAGCCCCAUAACGAACCAGAACUAGAAACAAGUUUAUGAAGGUCUCAAAGGUCUAGAUGAUCUGCGAUUCCUGAUGAUUAUGAAGUUUACACAAGUGUAGACAUAGAAAGCGAUGAGAUUUAUAUGUGUGAGGACAUUGAAGCAGAAAGUGAUCCCAUUACAUAUGAAACAGCUACGAGAAGCGCAAAUUAGUGGGUCUAGAAGACCAAGCGUGACUCUAACAGAAAUAUAGAAAGAUACAAGGACAUGUGGCCAAGGCGUUCACACAGUGAGAAGGCAUUGACUUCCAUAAAACCUUCUCACUUGUCCUAACAAAAGAUUCAUUUCAGAUCAUUAUGGCAUUAGUGGCUCUUUUUGAUCCAGAGCUCCAUCAGAUGGAUGUAAUGACAACAUCACUAAAUGGAGAGUUAACAGAAAAACGUGUUCAUGACACAACCAAAGGGUUUUGUUGUGAGCAGUAAAAGAAAAACAAGAGAUGUCACUUAAGGAGGUCCAUUUAUGGAUUAAAACAUUCCUCCAGAUAGUGGUACGUCAAGUCUGAUCAGACUAUCAGAAAGUUUAGUUUCGAGGAUAACGAGGAAGACAAUUGCAUUUAUGCGAAAUCUAAGGAAAAAGAAAGUAUAUCUUCCUUGUUCUGUAUGUCGAUGACAUAUGUUUAGCUAGUAGUGAUAAAGAUCUACUGGCGGAAACAGAAAGUUUUUGUUCCUCGAACUUCGAUAUAAAAAGACAUAAGAGAAACCUCUUAUGUUUUAAAAUAGAAUUCCACAGAGAUAAACAUAAUGAAGUAUUAGAACUCUCACAGAAGUCAUACAUAGAAAAGUACUAAAGAAGUACAGUAUGCAUCAGUGUAAGGCCGCGCCUGCGCCAAAAGUCAAGGGUGAUAAGUUUGGGAAUCAUCAGUGUCCCCAGAUUCAGUGUCAGAAAGAUCAGAUAAAGUCAGUACCAUAUGCUUCUACUAUCAGAAGCAUUUUGUAUGCUCAAAUGUAUAUUCACCCUGACUUAGAAUUUACUACCGGGAUGCUUGGGAGAUAUCAGAUCAACCCAAGCAUAGAACACUGUUAAGCAGUUAAGAAGGCUCUAAUGUACCUCCAAGGUACGAAAAUGGCCUCAUGCUAACAAACAGAAGAUCUAGUUCCCUAUUUCGAGGUAUAAAUUUACUAUAUCUGGGGGGAGUUAUUUCUUAUAAAAGUUGCAAACAGACAGCGAGAGCAUCGUCGACAAUGCACACUGAGUUUGUAACCAUGCAUGAGGCAAAUGGGCAGGCAAUAAAGAUAAAGAGAUUUGUACCCGGAUUAAGAGUGGUUGAUAACAUAGAGCGACCACUGAGAAUUUACUGCGAUAAUGAGCCAGCGGUACCAUACUCCUAUAACAGCAAGUCAUGUGGCGCCGCCAAGUUCAUUGACUUUUAGUAUUACAUUGUUAAGGAGUAGAUUCAGGAUCAAACCAUAAAAGAUGAGCAUAACAGAAGAUAGCAGAUGCUAGCGGAUCCGCUCAUAAAAGGUCUUCCACCCAGCGUGUUUAGUAAGCACGCAGCCGGCAUGGGUUUAAGGGAGUACCUAUGACCUUGAAUCAAAGGGGCUACAGAUUGAAACCAAAUAAAGUCUCUUUUUGUUCUGAAGCAGGCGAGCAUGUUGUAGUCAAUGAGUGCGAUGAUACUUAAUCGGUUAUUGUCACGCAUUGGUCUCUAUGUGUAAACUUGUCGAGGGAUGGAAUCCAGAAAAGUUGAGUACAAGGAAUGUAGAGAACAAAGGGGAGAUUGUUGGGUGUGUCCUCUACAGCCGGUCAAUAGAGUCUGGAUUGGGCUUAACCCAACUAUCGUUCCUUUAAUCGGACCCUUGAUCGGGAGGGCUCACGCUAACCUCGGUUGGAGCCCCCAGACACACGACGCUAUAUAUUGGACUAAGGGGUCGCAGGAAAGACUAACGCUAGUACCUUGCCCCAAAACCCUAGUCCCCAGAGGCCCCAUCGCCUAAGUGUCGGAGUGUCUGGAAACGCUACAACCUGUAGCAGCUCGGAUUCGAUGCGUGCUGUUUCUCUGCAGGGCAACAUUAUGAAGACGGCAACUGCAACUCUCCAACAACAACAAAGGUAUGUUUUCCUAUUCCUCUUAGUAGAUCAGAUCUACUCGUCAUCAAGAUUUUACUUUCAGUUACAGAUUGGUUUUCUAAGGACUUAGGAAUCGAUCCUAGACAGUAUAGAUUCUAACAGUAUCAAGUCUACGUACGUCAUGGCUGAGAACUAAUAAAACCAUUCUUUUAUAGAAAAAAGGGAACAACCACUAGUAGCUAGUGGUGGUUGCUUAGAAUAUUCCACGCGUGCUAGCAGAAAACUAAUGGUGUGUUUGGUUUAUGUAGUCAUUCAAUGCAUCAUAAAUUUAUUCCAUCAAUUUUGGUGAAAUCAACCAACUCCCCAUGUAUACACUAAUUAUUAGCUUAUGAGGAAUGAGGUGGUGAUGGAUCAACUCAUUCUAUUCAACAAACCAAAUAAAAAUGGGAGGAGUGAGAAAAAGAUGGAUCACUUCAUUCCUCAAACCAAACACGCCCUAAAACACCCUAAGGGCGCGUUCGUUUUCAGCUGAUCAGCCCAUUCCAGGCCUUAUCCGGGUGGAACCAAUGGGCCUGGUUUAGAAUUUGGUAUAACUCUUUGAAACCGUUCGUUUUGGCCCGAAUUGAAAUCGAAACUGGCCCGAAUUGAAAUUUCCCUUCACUCCACAACCCGGAACCAACCCCUGUGUCGUAGCCUCCGGAUCGAAGCCUGGACGACGCGACCAACGCGGCGGACGCGACCGGCGCGACGGCGGCUUUGACGCGACCGGCACGGCGGCGGCGCACAACCCUGACGACGACCCUCCCCGCUGCCUUCUCCCCGGUGAGGAUCUAGAUAUGCUCUCUUCUUACCCUCGAUCUCGAUCUCGCUCCUCGACACUGCGACUCCGCUCCUGUCCUCGUUGGGGUCAUCACAAGUUGCCUGGCCGCCGGCCCCGUUGACGGCAGCGGCUGCCCCUGCCGUCGUUGCGUCGUUGUUGGCCGGCUGCUCGGCAGGAUCUGUUGGUUCGUGCGCCCUCUCACUCUCGCGCGCGAUCUGCUGGUCCGUGCAUGUUACUGUGUGUUACUGCUUGUUACUAUCGCUCUGCAAGAACUGCGUGCUAUUGCUUGCUGCUAGCUAGUAUCAUUGCCCAGCCUCUCAAGUUCUUGUUCAGAAACCUUCACUUCUGCUUGUAUAUAUCAAGUCCCUGCGAAUGUUUUUGAAUUGAUUGCCUGCCUGAAACGACUGAAUUCGGACAUGCAUGACACUUCUGUUUAAUAUUGCAUCCUGAGCUGAAUGUUCUAUAUAUCUGUUUCAUUAUUUGGUUACAUUCAGAUAAAAAGAAGCAAGGCUAGCUCUGUGCCUGUCUCUAGCAUUCGAAUUCCGAUUUGGGCAUCUAGAAAAUUCGAUUCCCGCUGAAUUUAUCGCAAAUUAUAGAUUUCGAUGAAACUAAAUCUUGCACUUAAUUAUCACCAUGCAUGCAAUGGAUCAGGGUCUUAUCUUGCUCUUACGUACUUUGGGUAUAAAUUUCAGUUCCAGACUAUGUUUGUUUUCCAGUUUGAAAUGAACAGGCGAGUAGAAUUGCAUGGCCUCAAUAUAUCCUGUAUCUUUCAGUACAUGAGUUGGCAGCAAAUCUUGUGUUCAAACUGAAAGGAGAUGUGUUCCAUUACGCUGAUUUUAGCAUAUAGUUUUGUGAACGUAGGGUGGGUGUCUGGUCACCGGAAUUCCUUGCAGAAUGACAUGAAAACUAGAUUCAUUUGUCCUGCGUAGAUUUAUUUAUCCCGAUUCAUUUGUGUGCCUAGAUUCAUGUGUUUUCUUCAAGAAUUUAGUAUAUACUUUAUGAUCAUGUAUGCCAGCUAUUUAUUUGAGCUGUUACAUAUAGAUCCCUACAACACCAAUUAUAGUUGGGGAAGGUGAACCUCCUCCCUCUUGGGAUCCGGUACCAACUCCAAAAGGUAUUAAAUUCUUUGUACGUAUAUAUGGUUUACUUUAGUCCUUGUUACUUGUACUUUUGAAGCGAUACAUGAUUUGCUUUAAUUCUAUUUUAUUAUUUAACUUCUACCUGACAAUACAUCUAUAUUAUUUAGUUCUACAAUGAGUAUCUCAUUGCGGGAUCGUAUUAGAAAGAGGAGGGAAGAAGAAGAUGAUGACAUGAUGAUAUUUAUUUUCCCCGCCUUAUAUCUAAUGGGUUCUACUAGAGGUGGGGGACAAAAGAAGAAACGUCAUACCUCAAAUGAGACAGGCGAGGUUAAGGUUCGUCGACUCCUCGAGGGACAUGUCAAGAACUGUCAAGUUACAUUUCGGAUGGAACCACAUAUCUUCAGAGAGCUUGCAACUUAUCUUAGAAGGAGAAGGAUCAUUGUUGAUACAAGGAUCACGGUCGAGGAGAAGUUGGGGUUCUUCUUAUACAUGCUAAGUCGCAACGCCUCAUAUCAGGAUCUCCAAGUGUAUUUUGGGCACAGUAAUGACACCUUCCAUCAUCACAUCAACCACUUCUUCAAUAAGGUCAUUCCUGUCCUAUCUCGUCGCUUCAUUCAGCCUCCUGAUCCUAAUCAAGUGCAUCAAAAAAUCCAAGAUAAUCCUAGAUUCUAUCCAUUCUUUAAGAAUUGUCUUGGUGCCAUUGAUGGAACUCACAUUCCUAUUUCCAUAUCUCCCGAUAAACAUUCUCCUUUUCGAAAUCGGAAAGGAACACUAAGCAUAAAUGUGAUGGUGGCAUGUGAUUUCGAUCUCAAUAUCACUUUUGUUUCUAGUGGAUGGGAGGGAUCGGCCACAGAUUCUAGAGUGCUAAGAUCAGCUAUGAGCAAGGGUUUCCAGGUACCUCCAGGAAAAUUCUAUCUAGUUGAUGGAGGGUAUGCAAAUACUCCAUCUUUUCUUGCUCCAUACCGAGGAGCUCGGUACCACUUGAAGGAAUUUGGGGCUAGACAUCGAAGACCACAGAACCCGAAGGAGCUCUUCAACCAUCGCCACGCACUUCUGAGGAACCAUGUGGAAAGGGCUUUGGGGGUGCUUAAAAAGCGCUUCCCCAUUCUCAAAGUUGCCACGUUCCACACACUGGAAAACCAAGUAAAGAUACCUAUAGCUGCUGCCAUCUUCCAUAAUCUAAUUCGAUCACUUCAUGGUGAUGAAGAUUGGUUAGAUCAUCAGCCAGAUAAUAUUGAUCCAUCAAACUUUGUUGCUCUACCAAGUGGUGAUCAAAUGAGUGACCCAGGCACUACACAAGGCAAUGCUUUAAGAGAUACCAUCGCCCAAGAAAUGUGGGCUCAAUACCAACAACAUCUAAAUUAGUAUUUUCGUGGUUGAAUAAGUUGUAAUAAUUUAAAUUAGUAGUAUUGUAAAAUGUAAUACGUUUUUUCUUUAAAAAGCUAUGGUUGGAAAAGGCUCCCCAAGGUUCAACAUAGGUGGUUCCCCAAAGUUGCGUAGGUUCAUUCCUACAACAAGUGCUACUAAAAAGAAGACUUCUCCUAAAUGCAGUGGGGCAAAAAAGAGUGGAAGUUCUCCAAGAGGUAUUGUGUUCAAUGUUUCUUCAUGCUUUCUUGUAAGUUUUGUAUUACUGAUGCGUGACCAUUGUUUAUGUAGUAGUGAAACAAAGAGCGGAUUGGAAUCCAGGUCUUGAGAGGUCUCUUGUUGACAUUCUCCAUGAAUUUAAAGAAAGUGGAUAUAGAGGUGACAAUGGUUGGAACUCCGAAGGGUGGAAUAGAAUGGUCAAGGAGUUUCAUGUGAGGAACAAGUAUGUCUCCUUUACAAAGUCUCAAAUUCAGGAUAAAGAAGGUCAGCUGAAGAGAGACUACAAGAUGCUCAAAGCAGCAAAGCAACAGAGUGGGUCCACCUGGAAUGAGAAAAGGAAUAUGGUUGAAGGACCACCAGCUUUGUGGGAGAAUCUCAUGGUGGUAAGUUGAUUUAUUGAAAUUCAAUUAUUAAAUUAGUUAUGUAGGAUAACCUUAUAAUGAUAAUCUCGUAUUUGAUCAAUGUUUUUUUAAUUGUGCAGACAUUUCCUAAAAUCAAGAAGUUUAACAACAACAAGGCAACCUUCCCGCUCUUUGAUGCUUUGGGAGAGCUUUAUGAUGGUAAGUUUCCAAACAUCGUACUGAAAUAUAUAAUAUACUGAAAUAUAUAAUAUAUAUUUCUUUGUCAUUGUGUAGGACACUUGGCUGAAGGGACUUGGAAUUGCACUUCUCUUGAGGCACCGCAAGAGGAAGAACUGAAUGAGCAACUUCAGGAUGCAGAAGAUGGACCACAAGGAUUUGAUCUGAAUGUUGUUCAUGAUGUAGAUGAUGAAGUUGAUGAUGCACUCGCUGAAAGGAAUGAAGAUAUGCUUCAAGGAAGGACUAAUACUCUGUCACGAGAUGAAGAAAGUGGACAGCGAAGACCUGCUGCGUCAAGAAACAAGCAAGAAAAGGAACCAAAGAAGCCUAGAAAGACUGACAACAUAGAAAAUAUGAUGAACAAAUACCUAGAAAUGAGGAGCAAGCAAGUAGAAGAUGAAGCUGCAAGAGAAAAGGAAGCAAGAGAAAAGGAGACAAGAGAAAAGGAGGCAGCUCAAAGUGAAGAUUUCUCCAUCAAAAGGUGCAUAUCAGUUCUGAACACAAUGGAAGAAGUGACCAAAAUGGAGAAGGCAAAAGCAUAUUCAGUCUUCACCAAGAGCAAAGAGAAUAGAGAGACUUUCAUAUGUGCAUGUGAAGCGGAUCAAGAAUCAGCUUUGAUUUGGCUAAGAAAUGAGAUGGCUUAGUAGGUAUGAUAUUUGUGUCUUUACCUUCCACUCAACCAUAUUCACUUGGGCCUUUAUAUUCCAAUCUAAUUGUUCCAUUUGUUUGGACAGGUUUGGGUAAUCAAUCGGUGAUGCUUCCCCUUUGAGAACUUUCGGUAUGAGCCAGGAUAUUAGUGUGGCUUUAAUUAGUGCUUUUUGUCCUGAUCACUGAGAUUUCAGUCCAGUGUUAACUUCCGAUGAUUAUCUGUGCUCUCUAGCUGGUUCAUCCAGUUAUAUUGUAUAAAGAAAUUACUUCAUCUUAUAAUUAGGUUUGCAUAGGAAAGCAAUUAUUCUAUGCUUGCCAUAGAUCAACGAUAAGCAGACUGUGAUUUGGUACGUCAGCUGUUGGAAUGGAUGGCUUCGUUGAUUUUCCAGCUGCUCGAUCGAUCUGCGUGUUGACAGAUCUGUUGUUGCAAAAUGUUGCUUUGUUGGAAUGGAAUUAACUGCAUGGAAUGGAAUUAGUCCAGGCUGAAACGAACAAACUUUAGUGGCCACCAGGUUUCAUUUCAGAGCCGGAUCUAUAACAGACCAGGUUCCAGUGAACCACCCGGAUCCACUCUAUAUGGACCAGGAAUAAAUACAUGUCUGUUUUCAAACCAAAGCAAACGAACGCGGCCUAAAGCUACCAAAACUUGCAUUUCUUCCCCUAUAAUAAUGGUGAUGUUUCUCUCCUAAUUGUUCAUGCAUCUAUUCAUCAUCAUGCACUAAAUAAAACCAUUCUUUUUAUAGAAAAAAACGGAAUAACCACUGUAGUAGCUAGUGGUGGUUGCUUAGAAUAUUCCACGCGUGCUAUAGCAGAAAACUAAACCUGCCAAGCUUUGCAUUUCUUCCCCUAAUAAUGGCGAUGUUUUCUCUCCUCAUUGUUCAUGCAUAUAUUCAUCAUCAUGCAUUAAUAAAAAAAAUUCCCGUCGUUUCGAGGCAUCACGCUGCCACGGCGGUAGCCACCUGCCGCCGUCAAUCAUUGGAUAAUGAUAGUUAAGUCGCUAUCGGGCAGCAGCUAGUACGUCGUCGCGAGUCACCAGAGACAAAAAAAAAAAAAAUCAUUGAACGAAUCUUUGGUCCACAGUUAAGAGUGCGCGCUCUAAUCAUCCUGCGCUUAGUUUCAGAAUCAGGAACAUUAUUAUAUCGACUUCUUUUCCGCUAUAUUAAAGGGAGAUCAAUUAGCUGUCCACUAUUGACACAUGGAAGAACAAAAGGUUAUUAGAGCAUCUCUAAGAGCUCCCUAGAAAAUGACUCCUCAAAAUCAGUUUUAAGGGUCAUCUAAAAAAUUAGUGGGGGUAGAUUUUAAUCCUUUCUCCAACAGAUUUCUUAAAGCGGCAGAUUGUUUCUGGGGAGCCAAAAACCUCCUCAUUUGUAGCUACAAAUGAGGUAGUUUUAAAGGCUAUGGAAAAGUUAGGAGUGUUUUAGGGAACUGUUGAAGAGACACAUUUUUAUGUUUUUCCCAAAAAUCUUGAUUUAAGAGAGAAUUCUAGAAAGCUCUUGGAGAUGCUCUUACGUACCCACAAUUAAGAGAACACCAUCAUAUAUAUAUAUCGUCUACGAAAUCUAGAUCGACAAGCGGGCCUGCCAAAGGUUCCAGGUAAAUUUUGUACUGAUGUAGCGAGGGGCACCACACAAGUGCGUUGGCUGAAUGGAUCAGGCACAUUUCCAAGUCUAGGUCACCCAUGCACAUCUCGAAUUCGCGACGUGUGUUGCCGAUGGAUUGGCGGAGGUGACUCCAAAUUCUACCCCGGCCGGUCGUCCGUUCCGUAUCCUGAUAAGAUCGUGGCGAGGCCGGGGGAAUGAAUUCAAUUAAUUAUAAAUUGACGCAAGUUGUGGAAGUGGCGUCGCCGGUCGCUGUCGCUCGCCAUGACCCACAUAUGCAUGCAGGCAACGACGCAAGGAAUUCACUCAUAUAUAGCGCCAGCCACCUGACGUGGUAGCAGCAAGGGCAUGCGUUGUUCGCGAUCAUGCAUGGCCACGCUACGGAUGGGGCCAGGCGUACGCGUACCACAGCGUUUGCGACUGUUCCUCUGCGGCCUCAAAGAUUCAGGAACCUUCAACCCUGCGUCGUGCGUGCAGUGUCCUUGGACACAGCAGUAGCGUGCAUACCAUGCAUGGUGUUUUGUUUUAUUUGUUCGGGGUAACAGAGACAGCAGGAAAAGAAAUUAAAAAGGAGGGCCGCACCGCCGCUGCGUUCGACGACAACGAAGAACAAUGCUCAACCGGCCAACGACGACGUGCUGGCCGGUGUGGAUGCGAGCAGCAGGGCCAGCCGUGCGUGCAGUGCAGUUGCUGUUCGAGCGUCCACACGCCUCUGGCUCUGGCUACCGCAUGCAUGCAUGAGCCCAUCCGGUCAUCGCCCCGAGCACCUGACGGCGGGGGCGCGCGCCGCAAAGGCAAACGCCACGACAAAAGCAAAGCACCCCGCCCGGAGGGGGAUCACCAUUCACCAGCCGCGGCUAGCUAGUGCUCCUCUCGUGACGUUUUUUUUAUUGACCUCAUCACCGGACGCUAGCGUCCCACUUGAUGAUGACUCCACACUGAUGACGACAGGGACUCCGCGGUUGUCAGGACCUGUAAUUUCCAUACUACCGAAAACGAUGAGCACUUCCCGGCCCGUUACGAUCACAAACUAGUGUAUUGCCGCACGCCCUGCGCGGUGUUAAAUCCGUUUAUGUGAUCUUAAUUUAUACAUAAAUAAGAAACAAAAAUAUUAGACUCGAAGUGCCUGUACUUAUUCAGACUCGCGGCAAUGAUUUUUCCAAAAGAUAAAGCAAAAAUAUUAGAGUUUGUAGAAGUGCCUAUUUCUGUCACCGAUGGCUAUACCAAUCCACACAUGCAUGCCAACCAUUAUAGAUAGGAGUGUGGCAUGCCAAUAAACAAAUAACUAAAACAAUACUGACUACUGAGUGUGCCACUUCUAAAAGACCAGAGUACAUCUGAAGCAUCAAAAAAAGAUGACAACUGGUGGCCAGCAGCAUCCUUGCCUGGAAUGAAUGAUGAUUAAACUGAAGCUAUUGGGCUCUUGAAUGCAAAGACCUCUAACGUUCCAAUCUAGAUCAAUCGCAAUCCUCAGUUUCUGGGUGCGUGGCAGGAAUAUGUCAAAAAAGGGAGAAUUUAUCAGGAUCAAUUUGGCUUAUCUAAAUGAGCAUUCUAUUGUAAGUUACGUAGUUACUCUCUCUUCUUUAAAGGGUCCACUGGGAAGCCACAUGCUUUGCACGCUUCACAUUAAUUUAGAGUCAACUAUUGCAGACACCUGUCUAAAUAUAUGCACAUGGCAUCAAAGGGGCACAUAUUGGUCUAUCAUUCCAUCAACACAAUUAAGUGAGAUACGACUUUUGAAGCUAAAGCGGUGUAAAUUCCUUUUAAAUAAAAUCUGCUCGAAAACAUUGACGUAACAUCAUAAAUCAAUACAUUCUAUCUUUAAUUUGGUUUGGUAUCUAAAAAUGACCCUACUCGGUGCUAAACCAUAGGACCAUUUUCAUUAUUCCUUCUCUAAUUAUAGCAAGAAAUGGAAGUACAUUAAAUAUGUUCUUUAUAGACUAAGUUAUUACCAUGAGUGUCUGGGGAGCACAAAUAGAUUGCAGUUAAGUAAAAUGCAAUGUGUGUGUCGUCGACGACAGUCGGCUUGCUCCAGAUGCGGAUGAUCCCACAACGGCUUGAUUUGCUUUAGAUGGCUUAUGGAAUGAACUCUGCAGGCUAUUGCCACUGCUACUUUUGGUAUGCAUCCCCCUAGAAACAUACUGGUGAGAAACUUCCAUAUCAUUCUGCACCCAAAAAGCAUCAACCAGGGAUUAAAUAAAAAAAAUAACUGCAACAGAUAUGUACAAUUUACAUCAAACACAUAGAAUAUAAGCAUUAUCUGGCGUUCAAAAGGAACAAGCAUAAAAUACUUGAACAAGAAUCAUAUAGUGAAUCACAACAAAGUAUUAAGAAAUUUGGAUUGAGUAACUUAACAUAUUGUAAAAUAUAUAUAACGUGAGAAGGCUGAAGCAAAUCUGAAAAACAGACUAGCAAGUAUAACUGCAUCACAAUCACACAACUUUGCCUUUUGGCUUUUGAACUUGUGCAAAUAUUUUCAUAUUAGAUUGCCAGACAACAUCAGCAUAUUGAAGCUAUUAACAAGCAGAGUACAAGGGGAGACAUGCAUAAACCAACAAAAUGAAGAAACAAUAUACGGCGCCAACACAGCAUUGCGCAUAUGUUACAUUACCGGAUACUACUGGUAUCAAGUCUGAAACACGCUAUAAGCCAAGUAUAGAACUAAACCAAACUGCAUUCACCACUCGCCAUAUGAUAUGACCAUACCUUGAAGGAACAAACAGUAAAACGUAUUGGACCUCUAGUCGUACAUAAGAGAAGAAUGUUGUGGGUAAUUGGGUAAAGCACCGUUCUCCCUUCACAAUGGAAACAAAAACUUCGCCAGAUUUCCUAACAGAUUAAUGGGACCAUCCAAGCGCCCACAAAAACAGGAUUCUAUAAUUAACAAGCAACUUUAAUAGUUUAAUCCAAAAUUCAACCCAUCUCUAAACUAAAUGCACAGAAUAAAAACUAGAGUGCUGGACCGGCCACACUUACAUCCGAAUCGCACCACCGUUGCCGAUCCAUGGCAGCGUGCCGGUCGACCGACGGGUGUUGUGCGCCGCCAUGUCCUCCCACCUCGCAGCCCGUCGCCAAGCAGAAACGCCGGUGACGGAUGUCGCUGCAUGGUCCUUCGUGGUGUUGGUUCCGCUGCCUGGUGUCGGUAGCUCAGGCCCAGCCCAGCGGCGUCCCAGGAGGCGAAGGCCUCGAGGACGGAGACGAAAGGGUCCCAAUCGCAGGAGCCGACAGAGUCGAGCGCGUUCGGGAAGCAUGCGGCGAAGGCUAGGAUCGACGAUGUGGCGGAGAGCGAGGAGAUGGAAGGGAGAUCGAAGUAGCCGAGAGGAGAGGGAGCAAGACAACGGCGGAGUACGGAACACAGUGGAAAGCAGCGCUUCGCUCGGUGUCCGCCGCCACCAUUUUUUAGGCCUAGCCUUAUCCUGAGAGAAGAUGUGAGGAGUUCUGUCAUCUGUCCGUUCGGAUUCGGUCGAACGGUCGCGUGGGUUCUGGAACAUGUUGAGGUGUUCGCCUGGAUCGGAGGCGUUCGUGGCCGUAGAUGAAUAAUCGUGCGGGAGACGAAAUUCUGCAGACGUGGAUAGUCUAGUAUGCGCUGUUUCCGUGCGGCUUUAAAGAUAAGGAAAUAACAAUGCUACGAGUGGUACUUGAUCACCACUCACCAAUCUAAUCUAUCUGGUUAGCUACCACCUUAGAGUAAUAGCUCAGUGAUGAGCAACCACUCAACCGUGAAUUGUGAUUUCGAUAAUAAGGGUCUAACACACGGUUUUACACCUAAUACAAUAUUAGGUGUAAUUGUGCGAGUGUCCCUGUUUUGGGAUUUAACUGCAUUUUACCCCUAUUUUUUAGACUUUUGCGUGCGUGUUUGCUCUUGUUUUUCAAAGCAAAAAUGAUAUAUGUCCCUACUCUGUUAGUUGUAACUAACGUUGUUAAGUCUUGAUAAAAAAAGACAAAGAACAAUUACGUUAGUGUCUCUAUUUUGGAGUGCAAUUGUAGAUCUGUCUCUAUUUUUAGAUUUUACAUGUUUUUAUGUGUCGGGGACCAUAAUUAGGGGUACCCUCAAGACGCCUAAUUCUCAGCUGGUAACCCCCAUCAGCAUAAAGCUGCAGAGACCUGAUGGGUGCGAUUAAGUCAGGGAUCAGUCCGUACGAGCGACUCGAUCACGCCUCGCCCGAGCCUAGCCUCGGGCAAGGGCAGCCGACCCCUAGGGAUUUCCGUCUCGCCCGAGGCCCCCCUUUAACGGCGGACACAUCUCCGGCUCGCUCGAGGCCUUGCCUUCGCUAAGAAGCAACCCUGACUAAAUCGCUGCACCGACCGACCAAGUCGCAGGAGCAUUUAACGCAAAGGUGGCCUGACACCUUUAUCCUAACGCGUGCCCCCCGGCAGAGCCGAAGUGACCGCCGUCACUUCGCCGCUCCACUGACCGGUCUGACAGAAGGACAGCGCCGCCUGCGCCACUCCGACUGCAGUGCCACUUGACAGAGUGAGACUGACAGGCAGUCAGGCCCUGUCAAAGGCGCCAUAGGAAACUUCGCUCCGCCCGACCCAGGGCUCGGACUCGGGCUAAGACCCGGAAGACGGCGAACUCCGCUCCGCCCGGCCCAGGGCUCGGACUCGGGCUAAGACCCGGAAGACGGUGAACUCCGCUCCGCCCGACCCAGGGCUCGGACUCGGGCUAAGACCCGGAAGACGGCGAACUCCGCUCCGCCCGACCUAGGGCUCGGACUCGGGCUAAGACCCGGAAGACGGCGAACUCCGCUCCGCCCGACCCCAGGGCUCGGACUCCGCCCUGGCCUCUGCCGAACGACCUCCGCCUCGCCCGACCCAGGGGCUUGGGCUCGGCCUCGGCAACGGAAGACAGACUCGACCCCAGCUUCGGAGGAGCCCCCACGUCGCCCGGCCUCGGGCGCGGGCCCGCCACGUCAACAGGGAGCGCCAUCAUCACCCUACCCCGAGCCGACUCGGGCCGCAGAGAACAAGACCGGUGUCCCAUCUGGCUAGCUCCGCCAGAUAGGCAAUGAUGGCGCCCCGCGUGCCCUGUGACGACGGCGGCUCUCAGCUCCCUUACGGAAGCAGGGGGACUUCAGCAAGGACUCGACCGCUCCGACAGCUGUCCCUCUGCCAAGCUCCGUUGCUCCUCCGACAGCCAUGACAUCACACCAGCAGGGUGCCAAGAUCUCUCCGGCUACCACAUUGGCAUGUACUUAGGGCGCUAGAUCUCCCUCCGCUAGACACGUAGCACUCUGCUACACCCCCAUUGUACACCUGGAUCCUCUCCUUACGACUAUAAAAGGAAGGACCAGGGCCUUCUUAGAGAAGGUUGGCCGCGCGGGGACGAGGACGGGACAGGCGCUCUCUUGGGGCCGCUCGCUUCCCUCACCCGCGUGGACGCUUGUAACCCCCUACUGCAAGCGCACCCGACCUGGGCGCGGGACGAACACGAAGGCCGCGGGAUUCCCACCUCUCUCACGCCCGUCUUCGGCCACCUCGCUUUCCCCCCUUCGCGCUCGCCCACUCGCUCGACCCAUCUGGGCUGGGGCACGCGGCACACUCACUCGUCGGUUAGGGACCUCCCGGUCUCGAAACGCCGACAGUUGGCGCGCCAGGUAGGGGCCUGCUGCGUGCUGACGAACAGCUUCCCGUCAAGCUCCAGAUGGGCAGUCUCCAGCAACCUCUUCGGCCCGGGACGGUGCUCCGUUUCGGGAGUCUUGAGUUCAUGUCCUUCGACGGCAGCUACGACAUGAUACUCCUUCCACCGCCGCGCGACAACGACAAUGGCGGCCGACAACCCGCCCGCCGGCGGCGGAAUCGACGACGUCUUCCCCGCAUGAUGGAAGAACAACAUUCGAGCUCGCCCCAUCCUCUCCCCCGCCAACGGAGGAGGACGCGGGGCAACCAAGGCCAAGCGGGAGGCCGCGCUUCGUCGGCCGUCGAGCGAAUCGACGUCCCCGACGCCCCAAUGGAAGGCACGCCGGGCGUCGACCUCGCGUUCGAGACGAAGGCAAGCGCCGUCCCCCCGCGACACGCCGAUCCCGAGCAAGAAGACGACGCCAGCACACUCGCGGAGAGCUUGCAGGACGUCGCCCUCGUACCUGAGACGACGGUGCAACCAGUCCCCGACGUGACUAUGUCGCUCCUCGUCGACCAAAAGGUACCGACUAAUUCCCAUCUUACAUCAUUUCGACUCGCCCUCAACCCGCCUAGCGACCUUGCUUUAGCGGGCGCUCUCGUUGAGGCGAGUGCAACCCCUCUGGGGUUUCGUAUGCGGUCGCCUUGGGACCGGUUGACGGACGUCUCGACCUACGGGCCCUCUGGGUCCGAGGAAGAUGACGAUCCCAGCAUCUGUUGGGAUUUCUUCGGAUUUGGCAACCCCAGUGCCAUGCGGGACUUUAUGACCGCAUGUGACUACUGCCUCUCCGACUGUUCCGACGGUAGCCGCAGCCUUGACGAUGAGGACUGCGGCCCAAGCCGCGAAUGUUUCCACGUCGAGCUAGGGGAUCCCUCCGAAGGCAACCGUCUCGGCAUGCCGGAGGACGGUGAUCUUCCUAGGCCGGUGCCUCCCGCCGACAUCCCGCGGGAGCUAGCUGUGGUCCCCGUUCCGGCGGGGGGUCACGACCCACAGCUCGAGCAAGUCCGCGGGGCGCAGGCCAGGCUCGACGAGGGAGCAGGAGCGCUUGAGCCGAUCCGUCGGGACGUCGGGCAGGUAUGGGCGGGCCAACCCUCGGCCGGAGAAAUACGUCACCUGCCCCAAGGUUUCCAGCACCGCGUUGCCAACGACGUCAGGGUCAGGCCGCCGCCCGCAUCCAGCGGGGUCGGCCAGAACCUGGCAGCCGCAGCGAUGCUCCUCCGUGCGAUGCCGGAGCCAUCAACCACCGAGGGUCAGCGAAUCCAGGGAGAGCUCAAGAAUCUCCUGGAAGGCGCUGUGGCCCGACGGGCCGAGAGCUCUGCCUCCCGAAGGCAGGGACACCCCUCGGAACCUCAUGUCGCGACCUCCCGAUUCAUGCGGGAAGCCUCGGUCUACACCGGGCGCACGCGCAACACCGCGCCUGCGGCCCCGGGCCACCUCGGCAACGAGCACCAUCGUCGCGACCGUCGGACCCACCUCGACGAAAGGGUGCGCCGAGACUACCACCCCAGGCGUGGGGGACGCUAUGACAGCGGGGAGGAUCGGAGUCCCUUGCCCGAACCACCCGGUCCGCAGGCCUUCAGUCGGGCCAUCCGACGGGCGCCGUUCCCGACCCGGUUCCGACCCCCGACUACUAUCACAAAGUACUCGGGGGAAACGAGACCGGAACUGUGGCUCGCGGACUACCGCCUGCCCUGCCAACUGGGUGGAACGGACGACGACAACCUCAUCAUCCGUAACCUCCCCAUGUUCCUCUCCGACACCGCUCGUGCCUGGUUGGAGCACCUGCCUCCGGGGCAGAUCUCCAACUGGGAUGACUUGGUCCAAGCCUUCGCCGGCAAUUUCCAGGGCACAUACGUGCGCCCCAGGAAUUCCUAGGACCUCCGGAGCUGCCGGCAACAGCCGGGAGAGUCACUCCGGGACUACAUCCGACGAUUCUCGAAGCAGCGCACCGAGCUGCCCAACAUCACCGACUCGGAUGUCAUCGGCGCGUUCCUUGCCGGCACCACCUGCCGCGACCUGGUGAGUAAGUUGGGUCGCAAGACCCCCACCAGGGCGAGCGAGCUGAUGGACAUCGCCACCAAGUUCGCCUCUGGCCUGGAGGCGGUCGAGGCUAUCUUCCGAAAGGACGAGCAGCCCCAGGGCCGCCCAUCGGAAGAGGCUCCCGAGGCGUCUACUCCGCGCGGCGCCAAGAAGAAAGGCAAGAAGAAGUCGCAAUCGAAACGCGACGCCGCCGACGCGGACCUUGUCGCCGCCGCCGAGUACAAGAACCCUCGGAAGCCCCCCGGAGGUGCUAACCUCUUCGACAAGAUGCUCAAGGAGCCGUGCCCCUAUCAUCAGGGGCCCGUCAAGCACACCCUCGAGGAGUGUGUCACGCUUCGGUGCCACUUCCACAGGGCCGGGCCACCCGCAGAGGGUGGCAGGGCCCACGACGACGACAAAAAGGAAGAUCACCAAGCAGGAGAGUUCCCCGAGGUCCGCAACUACUUCAUGAUCUACGGUGGGCAUGUGGCGAAUGCCUCGGCUCGGCAUCGCAAGCAAGAGCGUCGGGAGGUCUGCUCGGUGAAGGUGGCGGCGCCAGUCUAACUAGACUGGUCCGACAAGCCCAUCACCUUCGACCAAGCUGACCACCCCGACCACGUGCCGAGCCCGGGGAAAUACCCGCUCGUCGUCGACCCCAUCGUCGGCAACGUCAAGCUCACCAAGGUCCUGAUGGACGGGGGCAGCUGCCUCAACAUCAUCUACGCCGAGACCCUCAGGCUCCUACGCGUCGAUCUGUCCUCCGUCCGAGCAGGCGCUGCGCCCUUCCACGGGAUCAUCCCUGGGAAGCGCGUCCAGCCCCUCGGACGACUCGACCUUCCCGUCUGCUUCGGAACGCCCUCCAACUUCCGAAGGGAGACCUUGACGUUCGAGGUGGUCGGGUUCCGAGGAACCUACCACGCGGUACUGGGGAGGCCAUGCUACGCGAAGUUCAUGGCCGUCCCCAACUACACCUACCUGAAGCUCAAGAUGCCGGGCCCCAACGGGGUCAUCACCGUCGGCCCCACGUACAAACACGCGUUCGAAUGCGACGUGGAGUGCGUGGAGUACGCCGAGGCCCUCGCCAAGUCCGAGGCCCUCAUCGCCGACCUGGAGAACCUCUCCAAAGAGGUGCCAGACGUGAAGCGUCAUGCCGGCAACUUCGAGCCAGCGGAGACGGUUAAGGCCGUCCCUCUCGACCCCAGUGGCGACACCUCCAAGCAGAUCCGGAUCGGUUCCGGGCUCGACCCCAAAUAGGAAGCAGUGCUCGUCGACUUUCUCCGCGCAAACGCCGAUGUCUUUGCGUGGAGUCCCUCGGACAUGCCCGGCAUACCGAGGGAUGUCGCCGAGCACUCGCUGGAUAUUCGGGCCGGAGCCCGACCCGUCAGGCAGCCUCUGCGCUGAUUCGACGAGGAGAAGCGCAGAGUGAUAGGCGAGGAGAUCCACAAGCUAAUGGCAGCAGGGUUCAUCAAAGAGGUAUUCCAUCCCGAAUGGCUUGCCAACCCUGUGCUUGUGAGGAAGAAAGGGGGGAAAUGGCGGAUGUGUGUAGACUACACUGGUCUCAACAAAGCAUGUCCGAAGGUUCCCUACCCUCUACCUCGCAUCGAUCAGAUCGUGGAUUCCACUGCUGGGUGCGAAACCCUGUCCUUCCUCGAUGCCUACUCAGGGUAUCACCAAAUCCGGAUGAAAGAGUCCGACCAGCUCGCGACUUCUUUCAUCACGCCCUUCGGCAUAUACUGCUACGUCACCAUGCCGUUCGGCUUGAGGAAUGCGGGCGCGACGUACCAGCGGUGCAUGAACCAUGUGUUCGGCGAACACAUCGGUCGCACGGUCGAGGCCUACGUCGAUGACAUCGUAGUCAAGACAAGGAAGGCUUCCGACCUCCUCUACGACCUUGAAGUGACAUUCCGAUGUCUCAAAGCGAAGGGCGUCAAACUCAAUCCCGAGAAGUGUGUCUUCGGGGUGCCCCGGGGCAUGCUCUUGGGGUUCAUCGUCUCCGAGCGAGGCAUCGAAGCCAACCCGGAGAAGAUCUCAGCUAUCACCAGCAUGGGGCCCAUCAAGGACUUAAAAGGCGUACAAAGGGUCAUGGGAUGUCUCGCGGCCCUGAGCCGCUUCAUCUCACGCCUCGGCGAAAGAGGUCUGCCUCUGUACUGCCUCUUGAGGAAGGCCGAGUGCUUCGCUUGGACCCCUGAGGCUGAGGAAGCUCUCGGGAACCUGAAGGCGCUCCUUACAAAGGCGCCUAUCUUGGUGCCCCCAGCUGAUGGAGAAGCCCUCUUGGUCUAUGUCGCCGCGACCACUCAGGUGGUUAGCGCCGCGAUUGUGGUCGAGAGGCAAGAAGAGGGGCAUGCAUUGCCCGUUCAGAGGCCAGUCUACUUCCUCAGCGAGGUGCUGUCCGAGACCAAGAUCCGCUACCCACAAGUUCAGAAGCUGCUGUAUGCAGUGAUCCUGACGAGGCGAAAGUUGCGACAUUACUUCGAGUCUCAUCCGGUAACUGUGGUGUCAUCCUUCCCCCUGGGGGAGAUCAUCCAGUGCCGAGAGGCCUCGGGCAGGAUCGCAAAGUGGGCGGUGGAAAUCAUGGGCGAAACAAUCUCGUUCGCCCCUCGGAAGGCCAUCAAGUCCCAGGUGUUGGCGGACUUCGUAGCUGAAUGGGUCGACACCCAGCUGCCGACGGCUCCGAUUCAACCGGAGCUCUGGACCAUGUUUUUCGACGGGUCGCUGAUGAAGACGGGAGCCGGCGCGUGUAACACCCUGAAUUUUGGGUACAAAAUUUCUUUUCUAAUAUCCAUCAAAUUCUGGUGUUACCUUUAUUUUUUUCUCCUUUUUUUCUUUUCCCUUAGAAAAAGAGAGUUAACCUGGUAUUUACAGGUGCUAUUUUGAAUAUGUGUGUUGCAUCUGUUGCCCAAGCACAAUUUCUUUCUUUCUUUCUUUCUGCCAAAAUAGUCUUGGUGAUGUUCACGUUGAAAAAAAACAAAAUAUUUAAUUUGGAAUAAAUUGACAUGAUUUAAUAUAAAGAAAUAUAUUCAUAAAUAUAUAUCUCUACAUAUAUAGUUUCCCACCCGUCCUGAGCAACGACCCAGCCCAGCCAGCGCGUGCACGGGGAGCGCCUAGCUGCUAUGUCGUGGGUCCCAUUUGUCGGUCUCCUAGUAGCCUUUCCCACCCAGCCGUCACACCACGUUGCGGGACCCGCUUGUCAUCCCUCUCGUGUUAACCUCCCAUACCCGCUUGAGCCGGCCACGACGCUGCAACCACCACUGCGGCCCUGCCUAACUGCACGAAUAAAAAAAACUCCGGCAUCUCUCAAUCCUCCGCCACCUCAGCCGAUCUCGAUGCCCACCACUGCGCAGCCCACACGCUCACCAUCGCCGUCGCGUCGUGCCUCGCCUCACCUCACAGCCGUGCGGCCUGGUCGUCGUUGAGCAGGGAGCCAGCGCUAAGCUCGUUGUGCCCGGACUCGACCUCGCCACCAUCACCGCCUCGCCCGGAGCAGCCUUGGCCCACCGCGUCGCGCCAUUGCCUCGUCCGUCGUUGCCAUGGUAAGACGUCUACCUCUCCCCGUGCCCGAUGAGCCCGUGAGCGGUCGAGGCCCACCGGCGAUGCUCUAGCUCCUCCCCUCUGCUGCACGUGCUAGGUGUGGCUAGAGCCCUUCCACCGGCACGGCUCGCCCAGCCCCGGCCCUGCGCUGAACAUGCUCGCUAUCAUGGCUGUCCAGCCUCGACCUCGGCUCCGGCGAGACAUGUGCCGCCCUAGCCGGAGAGCCUGCCUUCCUGUUAGCCGCGGAUGUGAACAGGGUGCAUCCUCGUUUGCCUUGCCUCCUGACCGUGAGUCCCAUGCCAUGGCUGCGAGCUUUGCCGCAACCGCAGCCGCACCGCCAUGCCGCGCUGCCUGCGUAGCCCCGCCCCACUAGGAGUGCUCGUUGCACGAUCCGAUUUUGCCGCAUGCAAUAGAGAAGAAAGAUAAAAACUGCCAUUGCGCUUCGUCCGUUCAUGACCAGGGAAUGCCAACCCGCACGGUCGCACCUGUGCCGUCAACCGUCAUGCACAUGAAGGUUGAAGAAAAUAAAAUCGCUAGUGGGCCCCAUUUAUAUGCAUGCAUGCAACCAAGAAUAACCAGGAGAAAUUGUCUCCCUAAUCAUGGUCACGUGUCUACAUCUGGCCACGAGUUGGCAUUUUGUUUUAUAAAUCCCGCACCGGAUCUCGUGGACCUUCAGUAUGGUCAUUCGUGGCUAAGUUUCAGCCAAUUAGUAUGCGACAUGUCGAUAAUCCGUGAUUUAGUAAUUAUUCCAUAUUUCUUGUGUUAAUUACCCUUUUUAUCUGUUCCAGUUGUGUUAGUUUCGUAAUAAUGUCGUGUACACGUUAAAAAUAUAGUUUUGCCGUAACACAUUUUAUAGUUAACUAUAAUUAAUUAUUAUUAGUUUGUCUUAUGGUAAUUAAAAUAGCGAUUCAAUUAAAACUAAGUUAUCGUUUUAAUUUGCGCGCAAUUCGCGUGUCGUCUCGCGUCGUUCACGAGUAUCACGUGUUGUUCGCCCACUUCGUCGCGCAUCAUUCACGUGUGCAGUGGUCAUGUGUGUCGCGCGUGCUGUUCCACACGUGGUGGCGUGCUGAUUCGCGCGUCAUUCGCAUUGGUCGCGCGCGUUGUUUCGUGUGUUGUCAGCGUGCUGUGUCGCGCGUGUCCGCGCGUUGUUUUUCCGAUGUCGUGUUAUUUCGUGUAUCGUAAGUUCGCCUCACGUAGAAUCUAUCGUGUUAAUUAAAUUACUUAUUUGACUGACAUUCGUAGCAUAGCGGAUUAAUCGAACUAAAUUACAGAUAUUACUUAUAUUUGACAAUGUCGAAUUAGAUAUUAUGAUUAAUACUCGUUUAUUGUGGACGCGAUAACCUCUCGACCGUAACCUCGACCGUCGCGUUUCUUUGUCCUCGUGUGACCGUAGUAACACACUCUAUUCUAUUUUGCGUAUUUUAUUAUGUCUUACUUGAAUAGUGUAAUGUUCUUAUGCAUAUAUAUGGUUGUUUGUUUUGUGUCUGUUUGUAUUCGUUGUGCGUCGCGAAUAGACUGCGAUCCAUUUUCGAGCUUCGAGGAAUCGACAGUCAAGCUUCGGCGACCAAGAGAUUGAACUCUUCGAGUUCUACGAGAAUGAAGACCCUGAGCAGCAGCAGCUUGGUGAAGGCAAGUGUCCUCUGACCCAUUAUGUCCUAUUCACUUAUAAUUGACUUUCCCGCAGUAUUUAAUUGAAAUCUAAGGAUUGACUAGCUUUAUACUUUACCUUAUCCUUGAUGACCUUUUGGGUGAUUAUGGUUAGCAUUUUGCUAUUGCCUUAAUUUAAUCAAUGAACAUGAUGUGACUAUUUAUGAUACGAUACUGUUAUCCUGAUUAUAUUGUUGAUCUGGUGAUACUCUAGGGGGCUCAGGCUGUUUCCUGAGUACCUCUCCGUAAGGACCAGUUCGUUGAGAGACCACCCGGGAUAACAGUGCAACCAUGAGGGUGGAAUGGGGUGCCCUUAGCUAAUUAAUUAGAGGAACUAGAAGUGUAGUUGCUUCGCCGUUGUGCCGUCAAUGGGGUCCAGGCACAGUGCUUGCUCUGCCGAGGCUGAGUGCCGAGGUUUUUUCGUUUUGUCUUUUUUAGUCACCCUCCUGCGGGGAGAGGUACUGUGUUUAUCAAACUGGAGAAACCUAACGGGCAGCUAUGACCUCUAGGGAAUCUUUGUAAAGGCUUCGUAGUGAAUCCCUGGCCAUUCACCUUGGGAGUGAAUAAGGGUCUUGCAAGCCCGGGCUAGAGAGGGAAUCACGGCUCAUGGGUAAAGUGUGCGACCUCUGCAGAGGGUAGUGAAACUGAUAUAUCAGCCGUGCUCACGGUUAAGAGCGGCCUUGGGAUCCUCUUUGAUUAGAGAUACGAAUGGUUCGAGAUACAAUGGUUCUAUUUAUGAUUUUGGUUCGAUGAUGAUAAUGAUGUUCCUCGAUGAGGAAAUGAUUCACGGGUUAGUUAUUGCUAAAACCUGGCUUCACUAAUAAUAAAUACCUGACCAACUAAAAGCAACUGCUUGAGCCUAACCCCACAUAAAGCUAGUCCACUUCAGCCAAACGGGGCAUUUGCUGAGUACGUUGAUGUGUACUCAUCCUUGCUUUACCACAAAACACCAGGUUGUCCACAUUGCAACCACUGCUCAGGAGAAGACGAAGUCGUGGAAGGAGACUUCCAGGAGUUUCAAGACUACGACGAGUUUUAGGUGUGGGUUGGCGGCAACCCCCAGUCAGCUGCCUGUGAAGGCCUUAUCUUUACUGUGUUUCGCUUGCACUUUGAUUUAACUGUUAAGUUGAUGACUAUGUGGAUGUCUAUGACUCUGUGAUGUAAUAAGUUAAUACUCUUUUAUGUUAUUAUUCGAGCACUGUGCGAUGAUGUUCAUUUAUGUAAUCGCUGUGUACGUGAAUUCUGAUCCUGGCACGUACAUAGUUCGCAUUCGGUUUGCCUCCUGAAACCGGGUGUGACAGCGUGGGCCUGCUCUUCAUCUCGCCCCUCGGGAAACACCUACGCUACGUGCUACGCCUCCAUUUUCCGGCGUCCAACAAUGUGGCUGAGUACGAGGCUCUGGUCAACGGGUUGCAGAUCGCCAUCGAGCUAGGGGUCAGACGCCUCGACGCCCGCGGUGACUCGCAGCUCGUCAUCGACCAAGUCAUGAAGAACUCCCACUGCCGCGACCCGAAGAUGGAGGCCUACUGCGAUGAGGUUCGGCGCCUGGAAGACAAGUUCUACGGGCUCGAGCUCAACCACAUCGCUCGGCGCUACAACGAGAUUGCGGACGAGCUGGCUAAAAUAGCCUCGGGGCGAACAACGGUUCCCCCGGACGUCUUCUCCCGGGAUCUGCAUCAACCCUCCGUCAAGAUCGACGACACGCCCGAGCCCGAGACACCCUCGGCACAGCCCGAGGCGCCCUUGGUUCAGCCCGAGGUACCCUCGGCCCCAGAGGGCGAGGCACUGGACGUCGAGGAGGAGCAGAGCGGGGCCACGCCUGAUCGAAAUUGGCAGGCCUCGUACCUGCAAUAUCUCCGCCAAGGAGAGCUACCCCUCGACCAAGCCGAGGCUCAGCGGGUAGCGCUACGCGCCAAGUCGUUCGUCUUGCUGGGCGAUGAGGAGGAGCUCUACCACCGCAGCCCCUCGGGCAUCCUCCAGCGAUGCAUCUCCAUCGCCGAAGGUCAGGAACUCCUGCAAGAAAUACACUCGGGGGCUUGCGGCCAUCAUGCAGCGCCUCGAGCCCUUGUCGGGAAUGCUUUCCGACAAGGCUUCUACUGGCCAACGGCGGUGGCUGACGCCACUAGAAUUGUCCGCACCUGCGAAGGGUGCCAAUUCUACGCGAAGCAGACCCACCUGCCCGCUCAGGCUCUGCAGACGAUACCCAUCACCUGGCCCUUUGCUGUAUGGGGUCUGGACCUCGUCGGUCCCUUGCAGAAGGCGCCCGGGGGCUACACGCACCUGCUGGUCGCCAUCGACAAAUUCUCCAAGUGGAUCGAGGUCCGACCUCUGAACAGCAUCAGGUCCGAGCAGGCGGUGGCGUUCUUCACCAAUAUCAUCCAUCGCUUCGGGGUCCCAAACUCCAUCAUCACUGACAACGGUACCCAGUUCACCGGCAGAAAAUUCUUGGAUUUUUGCGAGGAUCAUCACAUCCGGGUGGACUGGGCCGCCGUGGCUCAUCCCAUGUCGAAUGGGCAAGUAGAGCGUGCCAACGGCAUGAUUCUACAAUGGCUCAAGCCCCGGAUUUACAACGACCUCAACAAGUUCGGCAAGCGAUGGAUGAAGGAACUCCCCUCGGUGAUCUGGAGCCUGAGGACAACGCCAAGCCGAGCCACGGGUUUCACGCCGUUCUUCCUGGUCUACGGGGCCGAGGCCAUCUUGCCCACUGACCUGGAAUACGGCUCCCCGAGGACGAGGGCCUACAACGAUCAAAGCAACCAAGCUAGCCGAGAAGAAUCGCUGGACCAGCUGGAAGAGGCUCGGGACAAGGCCUUACUACACUCGGCGCGGUACCAGCAGUCCCUGCAACGCUACCACGCCCGAGGGGUCCGGUCCCGAGACCUCUAGGUGGGCGACCUGGUGCUUCGGCUGCGACAAGACGCCCGAGGGAGGCACAAGCUCACGCCCCCCUAGGAGGGGCCAUUCGUCAUCGCCAAAGUUCUGAAGCCCGGAACAUACAAGCUGGCCAACAAUCAAGGCGAGGUCUACGGCAACGCUUGGAACAUCAAACAGCUACGUCGCUUCUACCCUUAAGAUGUUUUCAAGUUGUUCAUAUACCUCGCACCCACGCAAAGUUUAGUCAUCAAGGAAGGGUCGGCCUCGCCUCGGCAAAGCCCGACCCUCCCUCGGGGGCUAAAAGGGGGGAGACCCCCUCUGCGUCGAAAUUUUCUCGAAAAAAGAUCCCUUUUUCCAGAAUAUCUUUCAUGCUUUUUGACUACUUCGAAAAGCGGAUCCUGAAAACGACGGAGUACACGUAAGCAGUCAAGGCUGACCGAGCCGAGGGACUCCUACGCCUCCGGGAUACGGAUACCUCACACAUCACCUUCUGCGAUAAGUAACUCGCGUCUGGAUAAAGUGAUCCCGCGGACCGAACAAGUCUUUACGUUCGGAAGCUCUUCUGCCGAAGCGGUCCUUCAAGCCUUCUCGACUGAGUCGGUGACAGGGCCUCAUGGACGGGUGAAAGUACGCGUAAGCGGCAAGGCCGACCGAGCCGAGGGACUCCCACGCCUCCGGGAUACGGAUACCUCACUCAUCACCUUCCGCGAGAAGCAACUCUCGCUCGCACAAACAUCCCUGUUACCGACAAAAAAAGUCCAGAUGCUCGAAAUAAGAGGAAAGGAGACGCAGCUUUACAACUCAGCGAGGGUGUGUUUUCUGGCCUCAGCGGCCGCAGAAGGCACACGCUACAAGACAAUCUGAUCCUGCAGGCUCAGGUCUUCACGCUGGAAGGGGGCUGUAGCACCCUCGUCAUCGACAAUACCUUCAGUGAGAUCCGACCCAGCCUCGGACGGCGACGCGGUCCAGGGACUUCUCCGGGAAUCCGGUCCGAGCAGGCGGCUCGGCCGGUUACCCCAGGGGCCUCGGCUAACCAUCUUCCAAGGGCACCAGCCCGGUCCGAGGCCUCGGCUGGUCAACUCCGGCGUCGGUCCCGUUGACGGACAACCCGACUAGGCUCCGGCCAACCAGGUUUUCAUUUUCGAGCCAUCUCCGCCUCUGUUCGUGCUGAUAUCGCUACCCCUGGCCUCGGCUCAUCGAAGAGCGGCCAAGGGGUCUCUUUAACUAAGCUAGAGGAGCCUCAGACAACAAGGCCGAUCGAGCCGAGGGACUCCUACGCCUCCGGGAUACGGAUACCACACUCGUCACCUUGACACGGGGCGACUCAUGCUUGGUGAAGCGGUUCAGAUAAUCAACAGGCGAGACUUAGUGCUCGAAAAUGAGGAAAAAACACGGCUCCGUGCCGAAAUUACAUACAUAUUCAGGCCUCGACAGCCACAAUGAACACAGACACUGGCAUUCAAAGUGCCAUUACAAACGGAACUCCGGUUCCCCCUCCGCGGGUACGAACAACCCCACUCCAUGGGGGAAGGCCUGCGGAGCAACGGAAGGCCGACGAACGGCGCGCCGUCACCUGCUCCAGCAGCGGCGACGACGACGACUUCUGCUCCGGGGGGCCGAACAGCGGCAGCACUGACCUCAGGGCGGAUGCUGCCGCCAGGAGGCCCCCGCCCAUGCCAAAACUUGUGAGGCAAGGACGGGCAGAAGGCCGUAGAGUUGGAGGUCAGUCCGUGGCCGGCCCUGGCUAUCACGCCGGCGGAAGAACCUCUUCCAGCUGCCGUGGCAGACGCCGGCACCGCGAGCGGCUCCGAAGCCACUCGCGUCCGAAAGCCGGGCACGCUGCAGCUGCCAGCGCCACGGACGACAACCGCUCCUCCCCCCCAUCACUGAGUGAAGGAGCGGGCCACCGCCCACGCAGGGGCCGACCCCAACUCGGCACACUCCCCUCCCCAGCCUUAGUGAUGAAAAUCCUUGAGGCUGAGGGAGGGGCAGAGGCCGCAGCCCGGCUUGCUUCUCCCCACCCAGGAACUGGCGGUCACCGUCUUGGGUGACCACCAGCGGGGGGGAGCGACCGGGCUGCAUGAUGAAAAUCCUUGAAGCCGAACGAUGGCUGAAAGGUACCAACUCCCACGGAGUUGCGUUCCUCCAACGAUGAGGCGAAAAGACGGCGGAUACCCCCCAUCCAAGGGCUUGGAAGGUGGAAAGAUGCGACACAUAAGGGAGGAAGAAGACAUGGUUGCCUUCCGAAAGGGGUCGCCCCCCCCCUUUAAGGGCAACUCUCCCUACGUGCGCCCCCAAACGCCACGGGCUGAGUCUUCUCCAACACGCUCCAAGGCCCUCCCCUGCGGCGCGGGGGCUGGGUCCCGCAUGUCAUGCAAACCGGCUCAGAGCAGAAGAAGCCAAAGCGCCGCGUGGUGCACACAACCGCCCAGCGGUUACAAGUGACCCCCCACUUUUGCCCAGACCAACGGGCGGAAGGAGUGGGCAGCCAUGCAGGCGGCAUGCAACCGCGCCAAGUGGACACGCUUCUCCGACUCCCAACGCGCCAGCAUGGAGGCCCAGGCCCACGCGUCACGCAACCGGCGCGCCGGAUGCUGCAUGCAGGCAACUGCACUGCCACUUGCGCCACCGUCGCGCCUCUUCGGUUGCGGAACCAAUGUCGCGACUCGAGGCGACCCAGCGCACGACCCAGCGGCGCCAGCCUGGCGCGACGGUCAAUGCGGCCGAAAGUGGGCCGGCAGUAAUGACGGUGGCAGGCGGGCGGGAGCAGCGGUCACGUCGUCAGCCAGGCUCACGUCCCAUCCAGGGGCAGCAAGAGAGCCUCCUCUCACGGCGUGAAGACGGCGCACCCGUGAUCCGUCCCUCGAACGGCUCGCGCACGCGCAACGGCCGCCCCGCCAACCAUUCGCCCCGUCGCAUUAACUCCGCGGCGGGACAGACGGCGUUUCUGGCAGGGGAAGCGGGCGACGCUUCGCCUUCGCCGUAAUAACCGCGCCAAAAAAGGUACGCCACGUCGUUCGAUUUCGUAUCCUUUUCCUUUUUUCCUCUUUCUCUAUCUCUUGCAACAGGGACCGGGAAAGGGGGAUACCCCGAAAAGGAUCCUUCCCUGUGAAGGAACCGGGCUCCGAGCCCCCCUACUGAUCAGAGGUUCGAAGGCUGGCCCUCCGAGGGGUUCAACAGUCGCCUCAGAUCGCGUGGGCCCUACACCCACUACUGGUCAGAGGUUCGAAGGCCGGCCCCCCGAAGGGCUCCACGGCCGCCUCAGGCUACUCGGGCUCCGCACCCAUUACUGAUCAGGGGUUCGAAGGCUGGCCCCCGAAGGGUUCACAAUCACCUCAGACGCCGAGCGAGGGAUGACCAGGGGUACGUUCGAUACAUAACUAAGGCUCGGGCUGCGCUCCCGAGGUACCCUAGGACAUUUUCGAGACCAGCGGGAGCGAUCUUGUAACGGAAUCCCAUCGGAGGGAGGCAUCGAGCCCUCGGACCCCGUCGCCAGGGGACCGGGUCCGGCAGAUCACCCGCAGGUACUUUUGGGCGUGCCUCUGGGCCCCUAGCCGACCCCCAACGAACGGGGCACAGACGUCCACUCGGAUUACCCGCUUGCAGCUCACCGGAGACACCAUGUUCGAUGCCCAUCGAGGGUAACAUGGCGCACUCCCCUCCUCCUCCUUACGGAAAGGCGACGUAGGGGCGUAUGUAAAAAAGCCGAGUCUGUCCCUGAUCGCCCUCUCGCCCUGUGCGGAGGCUCGGGGGCUGCUCUCGCAAACCCGGCUCCGGCCGAACCGUUGACAGCGUCAACAUACCAGCCCGAGAGCUUGGGCCCCGACCGUGCACCCGGGCUACGGCCAGUUCGCAUGAGGGAACCACCAGACCAGCCGAAGCAUUACACAAGGCAUUAAGACCUCGAAGGAGUGAAACCACUCCUCCAAGGCCUCGGGGGCUACACCCGGCGGGUG
rnacentral:lncRNA from 1 species